rnacentral:misc_RNA from 1 species
GAUGAAGAACGUAGCGAAAUGCGAUAAGUAAUGUGAAUUGCAGAAUUCAGUGAAUCAUCGAAUCUUUGAACGCACAUUGCGCCCCUUGGUAUUCCAUGGGGCAUGCCUGUUCGAGCGUCAUCUACACCCUCAAGCUCUGCUUGGUGUUGGGCGUCUGUCCCGCCUCUGCGCGCGGACUCGCCCCGAAUGCAUUGGCAGCGUCCCUUGCCCCCUCUCGCGCAGCACAUUGCGCUUCUCGAGGGCGGCUCCGGGGCGCGACCCACCGAAGAUGACCACCGUCUUUGACCUCGGAUCAGGUAGGGAUACCCGCUGAACUUAAGCAUAUCAAUAAGCGGAGGA